GGUCUCGUCUCCGACCCCCGCCCGGUCUCCGGCCGGCGGAAGCGGAAGGCGGGCGGUGGGCGCGGCUGGUCACCUCCUUGCGGGGCCUCUGGGUCCGUCCUGGAGCUGCCAGAUGAAAAGAGGGGUUUGGAGCGGACGUGCGGCUCUCCGUCGCGGGCCGAGGGUGGGAGUCCCACGGCGGCCGCCCCACGGGAGACGAGAGGGCGUUUCCGCAGGGACGCCGAUGCUAACGCGUCUCUCGGCCUCGGGGCCCGUGGAGAGUCUGGGCUGGGGGGUAGGAAGGAGGGGGAUGUGAACACGCGUACUGAGUGUUACCCCUCGUGCUGGAAAAACACACAAGGCACAGGGUGUAAAGCUAGACACAAUCUUGAAGGGGCUUCAGAGGUUCGGUGGCUCCCGGCUGUCACCCCGUCCUAGAGGCCGUGGGGGACUGGGCGGCCUCAGCCUGGAAGGUUCAGAAAGGCCCCAAGCUGCCCAGGGAAGGAAAUCGCAGCCUCGCUGCUGCCAGAACCUUCCUGAAGUGCCUCUCACUCACUCCCCAGUUCCUGAUUUGCUUCUAGGCUCUGCCCGGUUCUCUUUUCUCGACUGCUGCUCCGCGCUCUGGCCACAUCGGCCCUUUGCAGAGAGAGGUGACGCCCGCCUGCCCUGCUGCUUCGUUGAGCACUUCCAACCCCACCUCCUGGGGAAACGUGCCUCCAGUUCACCUUCGGUGCAGCCUUGGAAGCCCCUUCCUGUGUUGAGAGAACGCCUUACCCUCUGAAUAUGGAUGGCAGACAGAGCGCCCAGCAGAAGCUGAAACAACCAGAUGGUCACUUUCCCAGCCUUCCUAGCGGCUAAGCUGGAGCAGGCCUGUACGGAAGAAUUUUCCAUCGUGGACCAGUUGGUUACUCCAAAAUACCGACCCUACAGGAAAGGUGGGAUCCGUGCCUGAUUCGUGAUUCUUUUGUCUGGCUUCAGAGUAAGAACUCAGUGCUGAAGCAGCUUCCAAAAGUGAACUGCCGCGCCCGGCGUGAACCGUGCGCUCUGGGGGGUGAUGACCUGUCUUUGCGGGUUCCUCAGCGGUGACCGUCCCCCACCUGGUGUGGACACUGAUGGUGGGGGAGGCCGUGCGUGGCGGGAAGGUGGCAGAGGGGGUAUGGGAACUCUGUACUUUCAAUUUUGCUAUGAACCUGAAACUGCUCUAAAAAAUACAGUUUAUUAAUUAAAAAACAAAGUGAACCAUCACAUUUUAAAAAAUGUGAUGUUAAAGCGCUAUGUUACCGUGGAUUUCUGUGUAGUU